GACGAACGCUGGCGGCGUGCUUAACACAUGCAAGUCGAACGGAAAGGCCCUGCUUUUGUGGGGUGCUCGAGUGGCGAACGGGUGAGUAACCCGUGAGUAACCUGCCCUUGACUUUGGGAUAACUUCAGGAAACUGGUGCUAAUCCCGGAUAGGAGCUCCCGCUGCUUGGUGGGGGUUGGAAAGUUUCGGCGGUUGGGGAUGGACUCGCGGCUUCUUGGCUUGUGGGUGGGGUAGGGGCAUACCAAGGCUUUGACGGGUAGCCGGCCUGAGAGGGUGACCGGCCACAUUGGGACUGAGAUACGGCACAGACUCCUACGGGAGGCAGCAGUGGGGAAUAUUGCACAAUGGGCUGAAGCCUGAUGCAGCAACGCCGCGUGCGGGAUGACGGGCUUCGGGUUGUAAACCGCUUUCGCCUGUGACGAAGCGUGAGUGACGGUAAUGGGUAAAGAAGCACCGGCUAACUACGUG
rnacentral:rRNA from 1 species